CAAAUCACUGCACUGGAUAAAGUCCAAAUCAUCCUACCAACCGAAUCAUGAUUAACAACUCAAGCAAUAUGUGGCACAACAAAAUUCAGACAACGCAUAUCUCAAAAAGAUGAAGCUAAUCCAACACCAGGAGAAACUGAUAACUAAGCUGAUGAUUAUAAUCCAAGACGAACAACCAUCUUCUUAGAUGAGCCUGAAUGGUCACAGGUCAUCGACACACAUCUCAUUUGUACAGUGGCCUGCAGAGGAGAAACUUCACACUACCAGCAAAACACUAUAAGAUUCUUGGUCUAGCACCCAGCAACCCAAAACAACAAACUCGGAUUACAGACACUAGAAACAUAAAAGGAAAAUCAAUCCAUCUUCUAACCAUCCCGGAUGAUCAAACUUCCAGUGGCUGUGGGUCGACCAUUUCUAGACUUCUUUGCCAUCCUCAUCAUCAAGUCAGGCUGUUCCUGGGCAGAGUGAAAGAACAAGAUUAAUUAGUGGCCAAGUAAACCCACCGCAACGACUAGCACGACAACACACCUGCAAUGGACAUGAAAAAACAAGAGAAAAUAGCUUACUCCAAACACAUACAAAGUGGUGCGGUGCACUGUACACCUAUGCAAUGGCAUCAAACAAAACAAAAAAGCAUGAUCCAUCCAUUCAUCCCAAAUCAACAACUCUGUUGGGAAACCAGAAAUUCAUUCAUGCAUGCAUCCAAAUUCCUUCCAUUCGAAUUCAUCAUGCCAAUCGAACAUGUUCCACAGCAAUCUUGCUUGGCGCUUCAGCACAAUUCUCAGAGCAAGAAGCUAAUUUGAACACCACAACAUACUAAGAAGCCGAAGAAUUCUGGGCACUCAUCACACCGAAUAGAGCGAGACGAGCCACUUCAGCUUGACGACCAACUCCAGGUGGCCGUUGAGCGUGUCAAGUUCCCUCCGUGCCUUCUAACAACCGCGACUUCCAUGCCUUUCUUCAGAUUUAGAUACAUAUGCUCUCUCUCUCUCUCUCUCUCU
rnacentral:lncRNA from 1 species